AUACGGAGGGGGCUAGCGUUGUUCGGAAUUACUGGGCGUAAAGCGCGCGUAGGCGGAUCGUUAAGUCAGGGGUGAAAGCCCGGAGCUCAACUCCGGAACUGCCCUUGAUACUGGCGAUCUCGAGUCCGGGAGAGGUGAGCGGAAUUCCUAGUGUAGAGGUGAAAUUCGUAGAUAUUAGGAGGACCACCAGUGGCGAAGGCGGCUCACUGGCCCGGUACUGACGCUGAGGUGCGAAAGCGUGGGGAGCAAACAGGAUUAGAUACCCUAGUAGUCC
rnacentral:rRNA from 1 species